CCUCCCAGGGCAGGAGGAGGUGCCGGCCGAGCGCCCGCCCCGCUGAAGUGUCGGAUGCUUCAUGGGGGUUAGAUGCUUCACAGAUGCGCUGAAGUGGAACCAUGGAAACUCUGAUUUAAGAUGUGUGGAAGACCUCAGAAAAUAGUAAUAUUUGGCCAAAAGUUAAAUGUGAAAAAGAAGAGGAAAUGGGAAGAAAACCAAGAGACUUUCAGAUCAACAGGCAGAGUAUAAGGAUACAUAUUCUAUUUGUUGGUUUUUUUAUUAUUUUCAGCCUCAACAUUUAAUAUUAUUUGUUGUUAACUG